CAGGGCUCAGACUUUGCUGAGACUUAACUGAGAUAUAGGAAGGCUCCUGGUGUCUGCAAAUUGUACUCUGUAUGAAGCACCAAUUUCAGGAGGGAUGGGGUACUUGGCUUUCUCGAUGGAAGCGGAGAGAAACUCAGAGCCUCUGGCGACGUAGAACCAGACCUUUGUAGGCCUUGAGCUGAAGGCCCCAGCACUGAGGAUGACAUGAGUGGACUACCUGGAAAGCCUUCACAGUUUCUGUUGGCACAGUGUUGCUCUUGAUAAUGAUCAUAUGGAAAAUUACAGUGUGAAUGCUGUUGAUAAUCUGGGUUGUAUUUUAAUUCCGGAUACCUUAUGAAAUGAGCAUGUGAUUCAGGAGAUCCUUCCAUACCUCUCUGAAGCUGUCCACGAGAGGAGGGUGAAAUCUGAGAGGGAUAUGUGUGCAUCAUUGGUGCUGGUAUUGGAAUAUUGGCAUGUACAUGGUUAUAACUGAAUGGGCUGUAUCCGUGUCCUCGUGGGUACUGGCCAUAUGAAUGUUCAGGCAUCAGUAAAGGAAGUGGCGGAGGUGCCUGACCAUUUCUUAUAGGGUGGUUUACCAAAUGUGGUUUCAAAUGCUCAUGCUGCCACAUAUCUGGAUUAGGAGAACAAGGGUGCUGGUAUAAGGAGUCAUGAUCCAGUUUGAGUGUGUUAAACGCUGCUGCCGAUCUCUCGAUCUCCUCUUCUGACAUCUUUAAGGAGCAGUUCCGACAGGCACAACCAUGAGACAUAAUCUCGGAAGGGUCUUGCUCAAGAAAUUGUACGUGCUGUCCAUCAAGGAGACCUUCCAUCUGACGGUAAUCAAGUAGUCGGUUCCUGUUUGUUUUCAGGUCAUGAUCUCUCUGGAUAUCAUCUCGAUGCCUUACUUGAUGGAUAGGACCUUGAGGCAUUCUCUCCACGCAAGGAUACUGAUGGAACACAGCCAGCUUGCGAGCCAUCCUGCUCCCUGUCUUCCUGGACUCCACAGGUUUUGAUCUGAGUGAGGAGUCAACUAUGCUGUACCUUCUUGAAAGCCUUUUGGAAAAUCCAACUAUAUCACAUCUACUGCGUUAUAUCCAGUAGCAAACUACCAAACUCACCAAUGGCACUUGAUGCCAACUUCAGAGAGAGCCAGCAGCUAGUAAGAGAGUCACAAAGUCAACAAGAGACCAGCACAACAUCACCAACAGACCUAGAGAACUGCUGUCCCAACAAAGGCCAAGGGAGCCACCAAAGGGGCCUCAGCAAACAAACGUUGGUGGCGGGGGUGGUGUGUACCAAAGAGCUCAACAAAAAACCGACUAGAGAUCCAUCAAGAAUCUCACCAAGCCAACAAGGGAGCCACAAAAAGCUUUACAACCCAACAAGAAACCAAAACAAUACCUGCCCUUCAAAUGGUUUUUUUGUCAAGUCCCAGUUUUGUUUUGGUCAAAUCUACAUUCAACUUUCUCAAAAGCAUCGAAGAUUGCAGCCAAUUUAUCAAUGUGUCCACCCACUGAAGAAGCAACUGGUUGAAAACGAUGAACCCCUUGAUUCCUGGAAGAUGAACACCUUUAGUGAUCACAUUCUUUUAUCUAAAAUAGUUUAUUUCAAAAGCCAGAAAAAAAACUAAAUAAAAUUUGCAUUCCGAGUAGUGUGGUGACAAGACAUUUUAUAUCAACUGAUGUUAUCUAGUCCAAGCUAUUGGGGCAAGGCACAUUGCUUUCUUCAGGUAACAUGAACAGGCAGUUUGCCACAAGGCACUGGGUUACUAAAGAGUAGGUUUCAGCACAUUGGCACAAUAUUGUAAAUCAAAGUAUGACCUAAAGCCAAACAGACAUCUGAGAGUGAUUACAAGGCUGUAAUCGAAUCAGGGGGUUCGGAUGAUAUCAUAAACCGCAAGAGUGAGGUCCUGCAGUU